GCUGAUGUAGCUCAGUUGGUAGAGCACUUCACUCGUAAUGAAGGGGUCGGGGGUUCGAGUCCCUCCAUCAGCACCA
rnacentral:tRNA from 3 species